rnacentral:rRNA from 1 species
UCCUGGCUCAGAACGAACGCUGGCGGCGUGGAUAAGACAUGCAAGUCGAACGAGAGAAUUGCUAGCUUGCUAAUAAUUCUCUAGUGGCGCACGGGUGAGUAACACGUGAGUAACCUGCCCCCGAGAGCGGGAUAGCCCUGGGAAACUGGGAUUAAUACCGCAUAGUAUCGAAAGAUUAAAGCAGCAAUGCGCUUGGGGAUGGGCUCGCGGCCUAUUAGUUAGUUGGUGAGGUAACGGCUCACCAAGGCGAUGACGGGUAGCCGGUCUGAGAGGAUGUCCGGCCACACUGGAACUGAGACACGGUCCAGACACCUACGGGUGGCAGCAGUCGAGAAUCAUUCACAAUGGGGGAAACCCUGAUGGUGCGACGCCGCGUGGGGGAAUGAAGGUCUUCGGAUUGUAAACCCCUGUCAUGUGGGAGCAAAUUAAAAAGAUAGUACCACAAGAGGAAGAGACGGCUAACUCUGUGCCAGCAGCCGCGGUAAUACAGAGGUCUCAAGCGUUGUUCGGAAUCACUGGGCGUAAAGCGUGCGUAGGCUGUUUCGUAAGUCGUGUGUGAAAGGCGCGGGCUCAACCCGCGGACGGCACAUGAUACUGCGAGACUAGAGUAAUGGAGGGGGAACCGGAAUUCUCGGUGUAGCAGUGAAAUGCGUAGAUAUCGAGAGGAACACUCGUGGCGAAGGCGGGUUCCUGGACAUUAACUGACGCUGAGGCACGAAGGCCAGGGGAGCGAAAGGGAUUAGAUACCCCUGUAGUCCUGGCAGUAAACGGUGCACGCUUGGUGUGCGGGGAAUCGACCCCCUGCGUGCCGGAGCUAACGCGUUAAGCGUGCCGCCUGGGGAGUACGGUCGCAAGAUUAAAACUCAAAGAAAUUGACGGGGACCCGCACAAGCGGUGGAGUAUGUGGCUUAAUUCGAUGCAACGCGAAGAACCUUACCUGGGCUUGACAUGUAAUGAACAACAUGUGAAAGCAUGCGACUCUUCGGAGGCGUUACACAGGUGCUGCAUGGCCGUCGUCAGCUCGUGUCGUGAGAUGUUUGGUUAAGUCCAGCAACGAGCGCAACCCCUGUUGCCAGUUACCAGCACGUGAAGGUGGGGACUCUGGCGAGACUGCCCAGAUCAACUGGGAGGAAGGUGGGGACGACGUCAGGUCAGUAUGGCCCUUAUGCCCAGGGCUGCACACGUACUACAAUGCCCAGUACAGAGGGGGCCGAAGCCGCGAGGCGGAGGAAAUCCUAAAAACUGGGCCCAGUUCGGACUGUAGGCUGCAACCCGCCUACACGAAGCCGGAAUCGCUAGUAAUGGCGCAUCAGCUACGGCGCCGUGAAUACGUUCCCGGGUCUUGCACACACCGCCCGUCA